UUCCCCUGGCAAUGAGCAAAGAGCUACCUUUUUGAUGUUGUUCUUAUAUCAGUCAGGGACAGAGCAGAUGGCAGUCCUUUGUUCAUUUUAGCUUUAUGCCUGGUUUUGUGGCUAAAUCUGUUUUAUGCCCAGGACUCAUAA